UUUUUUGAUCAGUGCUAAUCUUCGAUACUCGAAGGAGAGGUUGUCCGUGUUGUCUUCUCUUUAUUUAUGAUGAAACAUACACGGGAAACCUCUUUUUUAGUAUCAAAUC
ensembl:miRNA microRNA 494